GAAUUGUUAAAAAAUCAGCUCCUAUCCUCUAUUCCUAUCUACUAUUCCUUGACCUUUGCGUGAAACGUCACGGGGUUAAGGAUCAGUGGAUAGGAGAAUUAGGAAAAGAGACUGCGGUGCUUUGAGAAUCCGACUGCACUUAUACUAUCCCGUGUAUUGAUGAUGAAGGACGUUACUAAUGUGCAUCUGCUGUGGGGAACUACAGUGUCUAUAAAGCGGACUGCUUAAAGCGCACCAGACUUUGCACCGUACUCUCUGAUGGUGUUGUUUUAUGCUGUAUGAACGUGGACAACAGGGAAACAUAUAUUCUUCAUUACAUAGGUUGGAAUUUAAAUAAAAAAGGUAAUAGAACAUUUUGCUUGGCAAGCAAAAUUUUCUAUUAAUCCAGAUGAAUCCCAAUAGGCUACGUAUGAUUAUAUGAAAUAUUUUAAAAUAAAGCGGAUACAAGCAGCUGAAAUGGGAUUUCUCCGCAGGGUGGCUGGCAUCUCCCUUAGGGAUAAGGAGAGAAGUUCAGUCAUCCGGGAGGGACUCGGAGUAGAACCGCUGCUCCUUCGCGUUGAAAGGAGCCAGUUGAGGUGGUUCUGGCACCUAGUGAGGAUGCCACCUGGGCGCCUCCCUAGGGGGGUGUUCCAGACACGUCCAGCUGGGAAGAGACCGAGGGGUAGACCCAGGACCAGGUGGAGGGACUAUAUCUCUAUAUCUCUAUGCUAAUCCCCCAGUGGUUGAUGUGGCCAGGGAAAGAGAAGUUUGGGGCUCUCUGCUGGAGCUGUUACCUCCGCGACCAUGACAGAUAAGCGGGAGAAGACGGAUGGAUGGAUGGAUGGCUGGAUGGACAAAUUGGCUGAAGAGAUGAAUUGAAGCAGCCUAUUACCAUUGACUGUAUGCAGUACAUCUCCAAAACCCUUGGAAAAAGUGGUCGGAAGGUAUAUGUUUUAUGUGGAAAUGGACCUGCUCCUUUCUUUAUCGGUCUCUGCUCUCUCCUCCUCUGUGAUGGCCCACGGCUGGAUCUUCGCGCUGCCGAAUAUGGUGUAGACGAUAGCCCCGCCCACGUUGAUCCCUGCUGCCACCCAGAACACCUUCCUCCAGCCCGCCAUGGUGUGCUGACAACCACAGAAGAAGAAAUGUAUCAUCAGAUGUAUACCAAUACUUAUACCAAUGACCUGUACUCAGUAACAUAUUUCAACUAUCACAAUAGUACGAUAACCCAAUUAUAACGUUGGGAUUAUUAAAACCAAAUAUAAGAAUAAUGUGAUUUCUCCAUUGUUUUGUAAGAAAGACGGAAAAGAUUAACACAGUGCAGUGCACAUAUGCCUUGUAGUUGUGCAAAGGCUGUUAUUACUCAAGGAUUUAAAAAAUAUAUGUAUAUAUACAAACUAUAACACUAUAACUGUAAAUGAUGAUGUUCAAUAAUCUGAUUAUCCUUUCAUUUAGAAUAGUGUUACAUAAAAGUACAAUAUAGUAAAAAAGGGGGCAUUUUCUGCAAUGUGUACUUCAACUUUUGAACUUUGAAUGCUUACAUAUUUAAAGAAACAUUUUAUAAAUAUAUAUAUAGUUAGUAAAAGCUUUUAACUGGUCAAAUAUUAGCACAGUUAAAGUGUAUUGUUAAAGUAUAAAGAGUCUAUAUUGAAUAAGAUAAGAUGGAACUUGAUUUACCCCCGUGGGGAAUACUAUUUUGUUUAAUAUAGCCUGUGAAUCAGUUCGACAUUUCUUUUUAUCUCUCUGGAUUUCUCUAAAUAUAUAAUAAAUAUAUAUACAUUUACAAUAUUAUAGAUGCUAACUUAAGUAAAUGUAUGACUAUUUAGUGUAAGACUUACUACUUAUAACUUACACCCUCAGUGAAGUAUCCUGUAGCAAUGGGUGCCAGGACUCCAGGAAUGGUCCCGAAUGUGUUGCUGAUUCCCAGAAGGAAUCCUGCAUACCUGCAAAGACAGUGAAAUAGCAAGUCGUUAUUAACCUCAAUGUUAUACUUUCCAUACAGUCAGUUUAUAGUUAUUACAUUUACAUUAAUGUAUGUACGUUUAUGAGUAAGGUGGACCGAAACAGGAACAUUUAACAGAGACUUACUUGGCAACAGUUCUGAUAGUCAAUUCAUUCAUAAAGUCAAUUUCUACCAGUAAUAGAAACGAUUUCAAAUAAACACAGUCUCUUUAGGAAGUAUGUUUACAAGGAUUUUUA